rnacentral:misc_RNA from 1 species
GAAAUGCGAUAAGUAAUGUGAAUUGCAGAAUUCAGUGAAUCAUCGAAUCUUUGAACGCACCUUGCGCUCCUUGGUAUUCUUUGGAGCAUGCCUGUUUGAGUAUCAUGAAAUCUUCAAAGUAAAUCUUUUGUUAACUCAAUUGGUUUCUACUUUGGUAUUGGAGGUCUUUGCAGCUUCACACCUGCUCCUCUUUGUUCAUUAGCUGGAUCUCAGUGUUAUGCUUGGUUCCACUCGGCGUGAUAAGUUAUCUAUCGCUGAGGACACUGUAAAAGGUGGCCAAGGUAAAUGCAGAUGAACCGCUUCUAAUAGUCCAUUGACUUGGACAAUACUUUUAUGAUCUGAUCUCAAAUCAGGUAGGACUACCCGCUGAACUUAAGC